rnacentral:rRNA from 1 species
GGGCGGAUUUUCUAUCUGGUUGAACGUCUGUGGCGAGUUGCAGUUUAAACCUGAUUGAUGAAGUGAUACAUUAUUCGACGCCCAUUAUAUCUAUGUUGGGGGGAGUUUGUUUGGCUUAGCCCGCUGGUUCUGAGAUCUGCGGGCUUACUAUAUUGAGGGCUGGCUGCCUGUUCAAACUGGGGUUAGGGUUACCCUUGUUUAUUGAGUGUGUUAAUAGACUUGGUCUAGGUGUUAUUAAUUAGGUGAAACACCCCCCCGAGGUAAAGUACGUACGUGUUUAUGGGAUAAUAAGUAAUUCUAUUAAAUGUAUUCUAUCUCGGAUCUGGCCCGACUGUUUAUUAAAAACAUUUCCUCGUGUAUAUUGCGAGGUACAACCUGCCCGGUGGGUUUAACGGCCGCAGUAUAUUGACUGUGCGAAGGUAGCAUAAUUAAUUGCCCCGUAAUUGGGGGCUUGUUUGAAUGGUUUAACGUGGUUGGUAGUUGAGAUUACAUUUUUUAUUGAAAUUAAUAUCACGAGUACAGAAUCUGUGUGGGUUAGUUAGACGGAAAGACCCCGGGAUCUUUGAUUUUGUCUGGGGCGGAUGGGGCUGUUUCAGCCUCUUUGUGACCCUUAGUUUAAAGGUUUAAGUUACCCCGGGGAUAACAGAGUAAUAGUUUAUUAGAGGCCAUAUCGAUUAAACUGUUUGCUACCUCGAUGUUGA